UGGGGAAUUUUGGACAAUGGGCGCAAGCCUGAUCCAGCCAUGCCGCGUGCGGGAAGAAGGCCUUCGGGUUGUAAACCGCUUUUGUCAGGGAAGAAAUCUUCUGAGUUAAUACCUCGGGAGGAUGACGGUACCUGAAGAAUAAGCACCGGCUAACUACGUGCCAGCAGCCGCGGUAAUACGUAGGGUGCAAGCGUUAAUCGGAAUUACUGGGCGUAAAGCGUGCGCAGGCGGUUUUGUAAGACAGAGGUGAAAUCCCCGGGCUCAACCUGGGAACUGCCUUUGUGACUGCAAGGCUUGAGUGCGGCAGAGGGGGAUGGAAUUCCGCGUGUAGCAGUGAAAUGCGUAGAUAUGCGGAGGAACACCGAUGGCGAAGGCAAUCCCCUGGGCCUGCACUGACGCUCAUGCACGAAAGCGUGGGGAGCAAACAGGAUUAGAUACCCUGGUAGUCCACGCCCUAAAACGAUGUCAACUGGUUGUUGGGAAGGUUCCUUCUCAAUAACGUAGCUAACGCGUGAAGUUGACCGCCUGGGGAGUACGGCCGCAAGGUUGAAACUUAAAUGAAUUGACGGGGUCAUAGCUGUUUCCUG
rnacentral:rRNA from 1 species